rnacentral:rRNA from 1 species
AGCGGCAAGGGCCUUCGGGCCCCUAGAGCGGCGGACGGGUGAGUAACACGUGGACAAUCUGCCCCCCGGUCCGGGAUAGCCCAGGGAAACCUGGAUUAAUACCGGAUGAGACGGGACCCGCGGAGGCGGGAUCCGGGAAAGGCGCUGCGGCGCCGCCGGGGGAUGAGUCUGCGUCCCAUUAGCUAGACGGCGGGGUAACGGCCCACCGUGGCGACGAUGGGUAGCCGGCCUGAGAGGGUGGACGGCCACAUUGGAACUGAGACACGGUCCAGACUCCUACGGGAGGCAGCAGCUAAGAAUCUUCCGCAAUGGGCGAAAGCCUGACGGAGCGACGCCGCGUGAACGAAGAAGGCCGUGAGGUUGUAAAGUUCUUUUCGGGAGGGGGAACAACCGUGGCAGGGAAUGGCCGCGGGAUGACGUGAAUCCCGGAAUAAGCCCCGGCUAACUACGUGCCAGCAGCCGCGGUAACACGUAGGGGGCGAGCGUUGUUCGGAAUCAUUGGGCGUAAAGGGCGUGCAGGCGGUCCUGCAAGUCCGGCGUGAAAGACCCCGGCCCAACCGGGGGGACGCGCUGGAAACUGCAGGGCUUGAGUACAGGAGGGGAUGCCGGAAUUCCAGGUGUAGGGGUGAAAUCU